rnacentral:rRNA from 1 species
AUUGAACGCUGGCGGCAGGCCUAACACAUGCAAGUCGAGCGGAUGAAGGGAGCUUGCUCCUGGAUUCAGCGGCGGACGGGUGAGUAAUGCCUAGGAAUCUGCCUGGUAGUGGGGGAUAACGUCCGGAAACGGGCGCUAAUACCUCAUACGUCCUGAGGGAGAAAGUGGGGGAUCUUCGGACCUCACGCUAUCAGAUGAGCCUAGGUCGGAUUAGCUAGUUGGUGGGGUAAAGGCCUACCAAGGCGACGAUCCGUAACUGGUCUGAGAGGAUGAUCAGUCACACUGGAACUGAGACACGGUCCAGACGCCUACGGGAAGCAGCAGUGGGGAAUAUUGGACAAUGGGCGAAAGCCUGAUGCAGCCAUGCCGCGUGUGUGAAGAAGGUCUUCGGAUGGGAAAACACUUUAAGUGAGGAGGAAAGGCAGUAAGUUAAUACCUUGCUGUAGUGACGUUACCAACAGAAUAAGCACCGGCUAACUUCGUG